rnacentral:lncRNA from 1 species
AUGGAUCUAGAUACACAGAAACCAGAGGAAAUCAAUGGGGAGUUGAAGAGCAAUUUGAUUGGAACAGCUGGCAGAUAUAUCAGAGCCAUCAAUGGGAUUAUUGCUUUGAAGCAGAUGUUAAACAGAAUGGGGCAAUAACAGCUGUUGCAAUUAGAGGCAUUGUGGGCACAUUUCUGCACAUAUCUGUCUCAACAUGACAAUGAUCCAACCAAAGACCAGUAAGUCACACAUUAUUUUUUUUCAAAUAUUCAGAAAUUUUAAUUUCACAUCAGCAGUGCUAUCAACAUGAUUUUUCUUAUGGCUUAUGUAAUUUCUGAAGUACCUUAGGCAACGGGAAAAAAAAAAAAGAGAGAGAUCUCAAGUGUCAGCUGAUAAUUUUUUCAACUUUAGUUUCAGAUGAGAAAAUAUUUUUAGCCAUGAGUCAAACCCACUAUGGAAGUCCCCGAGACUGUCAAAAAGACCGUGGUCUGAAGUGGUCAUGAAAGGUAAACCUGGUUCAUCAUUUCACACCUGUGUGCCCCCUUUCCCUAAGGACUUUGGAGGACUUCACUAGCUGUGACAGAGAUUUCUGUUUAUGUGUGCUCCAAAUUCUGCUCAGAGCAUAUUUAGGACAGCUGCAGUUUACAGUAGAUAUUUUAGUUAAACACAUAAAUGGCUAUAUAUUAGUCUAUGUGAGGUGGAGAAAAGGGUUUAAAUGCUGAAGAGGGUUUAGGACAACUUAACUCCACCCAGAGGCUUUCAUCUUGAACUGAACACAUCUAUACAGAGUGACUCUAUGAGAGAAACACUACAUAAGAGAUCUUUGGUUGCCAACAAAAAUUACAUGCAUCCCUUACUGAGUAUGAAGCCCAGAAUCUCUAUGCCUGCUAGAUUUCUUUUCCCUUAUUGUUAAUCCCUUUCCUCUUCCCUUCCCCUUUCCAUUCCUCAGCCCUGUCAGAUAAUGAUAAAAUACAUUUUUAUUAUUUUAUUAUUAUUAUUAUUAUUUAAUACUUUGUAUAUCCUCAAUCUUUCAGAAGUAUCACAGUGGAUUCACACCCUUCCAGUGAGGUUUGCACAGAGGUCAAGUUAAGAGGCUGUGAAAAUUUCUUUGGGAUUGUGAAGACUGGAGAAGCAUCAAACAAUUUUGACUAAAGAACCA